rnacentral:rRNA from 1 species
CGGCAGCGCGGGGUGCAACCCUGGCGGCGAGCGGCGAACGGGUGAGUAAUGCAUCGGAACGUGUCCUCUUGUGGGGGAUAACCAGUCGAAAGACUGGCUAAUACCGCAUGAGCUCGAGAGAGGAAAGCAGGGGACCGCAAGGCCUUGCGCGAGAGGAGCGGCCGAUGCCGGAUUAGCUAGUUGGUGGGGUAAAGGCCUACCAAGGCGACGAUCCGUAGCUGGUCUGAGAGGACGACCAGCCACACUGGGACUGAGACACGGCCCAGACUCCUACGGGAGGCAGCAGUGGGGAAUUUUGGACAAUGGGGGCAACCCUGAUCCAGCCAUGCCGCGUGUGUGAAGAAGGCCUUCGGGUUGUAAAGCACUUUCGGACGGAACGAAAUCGCGCGGGUGAAUAUCCCGCGUGGAUGACGGUACCGUAAGAAGAAGCACCGGCUAACUACGUGCCAGCAGCCGCGGUAAUACGUAGGGUGCGAGCGUUAAUCGGAAUUACUGGGCGUAAAGUGUGCGCAGGCGGCGUCGCAAGUCGAGUGUGAAAGCCCCGGGCUUAACUUGGGAAUUGCGCUCGAAACUACGGUGCUGGAGUAUGG